GCUAAAUGUCCCAUCUAAGCUAGUAAGGAGCAUGGCAGCCAUGCAACCAACACUGGAAUGUGUAGCAUUGGCCUCCGCGUGGCAGAUUUCUUAUCUGUGCCCUGCCUUUGAUCCCCCAGGCACCCUGCUGGCUGUCCAGUUUGUCCAUGCAGUGGUAAACAGAAUCAUCCCCACCUCCAAUGGCUUUAUUGCUCCCACGAGACAUGGCUAUCUCAUCCGAGAGCGUUUCCACUGUCCUUCAUCAAGAGCCUCACAGGAGGAUCCCCUCAAGAACUUCAAGAAGGCAGUGUGGAUGGUCAAGUCCAGGCAGAGAGAAGAGCUGGCUGCAGCUGCAGAAACACCCCAGGGCUUGACAUCCCAGUCAGCCCAGGGAAACAAAUCCAGAUCAAACAAACAUUCACAAGUCUGCCUGUUGGUGUGAAACCCCCCCAUGGAGCGUGAGGUUCCAAUGAGUUGGCUCCACCUAAUCUGGUUGAAGCAAAAAACGCAUUUGCUGCUGUACCUGUGGACCCAAGGCCUCCGAUUAUGAGACCAGGCCUCGCCUUUUCCAUCUUUACAUCCUUCUUUCCUCCUUCUUUGGUUCCAGCCUCAUACCUGCCACCCGCAGGUUAGCAACAAACACUCUGCCUUCUCAAGUUCAGUAGAAAAGACAACUCCCCUGUCCCUGGAGUUUGCACCUAAGUCCUAGCCCUGGCUGUAUAGGCUUCAAUUGGCUCAACACUCCUCCUUGAACCAAUCACGAGCUCCGGGAGAAUGCAGUGCUCUGAUUGGCUGGCUUGAACUGAACAGAGCUGAGGGUGGAGAGAAUGGCCACUCAACAAUGUUGACUGAGAAUGGAAGACGGUAUUCCUGGGAGGGAAACUGGGAUGCUAGGACCAGGUAAAGGAGGGAUGGACGAAUGUGAGACUGACGUGGACCACAGAGCUUUACAGUCCAUGCAGCAACAGAGGCUGUCGUCUGAUCCUCAUCACAGUUGAUAGGGAGGGCAGGAACUGCUGUCUCUGUUUUACAAGUGAGGAAACUGAGCCUUGCAGAGGUAACUAUGGUUUGCUUCAAGUCACAAGCCCGUUGUACAAAAGCUCUGAGAAAUGAGAUUCAGGAGCCUUCCUUCCCAGUCUUGUUGGACUACAUCUCCUGCUUUAGUCUUGGAAGCAUCAUGUAUCUCCUCCAUGGGGCACCCUCAAAUGCCCACGAGGGCUGGUCAGUGAUGGUUCCCACACACCUGAGUGUACAUCAGGGAACAACAGCCUGGGAACAUGGAGAUACACAUCCUUUCACAGGUGGGCAUGAGCACCCCGACUGUAGCCCAGAAUGGCCAUGGCAAAAGCAGCCCCCGCCCCCGCCGUUGUUAGAUCUUCUUUUCUGAAAGCCAGAAACUGAGGCUUUUAUGCAAAAUGUUCCCGCUUUUAAAAAUUGGCAAUUGGCUCAAAUUUAUAUCUAGAGGCACGUUUGGCCUGUCUCUAAGUUCAUGAGCUGACUUUAGGACUCAAGCUGCAUUAAAGUAAUAAACGUGUUAACAGGUUAUAUUCUUCCAGCCCUAUUCCCUGGCUCCCAAGCUCUAAGAUAAAGAUGCUUUUUUUAUCUUGAAAACUUGAGGCUUUUGGAAUCAGGGAGAGAGAGAGAGAGAGAGAGAGAGAGAGAGAGAGAGAGAGAGAGAGAGAGAGAGAGAGCGCACAGGCGAGCAAGCGGGAGCUGUUGACAUCUCUCUGCUUUGCUUUUGGACCAUCUGCCUGUGCAGGUUCAGCAGCUGAACUGAUGCCAUUUCACUCAAAUGGAUCUUUCCUCUUUGCCCACAGCCUUCUAAAAAGCCCUGCUUCCUUCUGAAGCCUUUGCUAUAAGGAGGAGUCCAAACCUUUGUGGUGCUUGCUGCUCCUUCUCCCCUCCGUUGGGUUCUAGACACUCUCAGGAAGAGCAACCUUAGAGGAUGAGGCUUUUCUUGUGGGGGCUGAUCAGGGUGGAUGCAGGCCUCACAGGUGUUCGGCAGGUGCUAUGCCACAGAGUGACAAGCUACAGCCCCCAAAAAUGAGGCUUUUGAGUGGACGAGACUCUACUGACUAUAAUGUUCAUUUGUUUCCCAAACCAGGGUUCCAAGUCAGGCUUUGGCAGUUCUGUGAAUGUUGACAUCCACUUCCAUUUUAAAAUAUCUGAACGGUGAUCUUAAAAUGUAUGCUCAGGUGCAUUGGGCAUCAGCUUUCUUCUUAGGUUUUUAAAAAUUCUAUUUUAUUUUUACUAACAGGUAUUAAUUGUACAUAUUAUUGGUGUUCAGUGGAAUAUUGCAAUACAGGUAUAUAGUGUGCAGGAAUCAAAUUCAGCCUCCCAUAACCACCCCCUCCAUCCAACCUUCCUGACCUCUAGUAACCCUGCACUGCACUCAGCACAUUUAUUUUAUUCUUUUAACUUCCAUACAUGAGAGAGAAUAUGCAGCACUUGACUUCCUGUUUGGCUUGAUUCACUUAACACGAUGUCCU
rnacentral:lncRNA from 1 species